UAUUUAUCAAUAUGUUUUCCUUGCAGUAGAAUCGUGAUAUAUAAAAAAGGUUAUACUUGAACUGUUUUGCGUGUUUGUUUUUCUUGGUGGAAAUCCAACAUAUUAUAUAUAUAAACGUCUUGCCUGAUAACGGUUUUCCCUCCCUCAGGUUGAAGUUAAAAAUUGUAUUGAUUUUGGCUUCAAAUUGAUAGUGUUAACUAUAGUUUGUGUCCUGGGAGUAUUUGUAGAAAAAAUCUGACACUUCCUACAGAAUUCUUGAGGAGUCGGCUAAAAACGACCAGCAUUACUAGUACAAGUACAUGCUAUAAUUUAUGGCAGAAAUAACAGGAAAAUACGCAACCCCUCGAAUAAAAAAAAACUAACAUUUAAAACUGGACGUGCAUACAAAUACAUAGACAACAUGGAUAAAAACGUAUUAAGGAACACCUUGGACAACGUACAAUUAUGGGAAGCCAUUUUGGUGGGAACCAUUAUAGGACAGGAAAACCAGAUUAAGUAGGACACCGCCUUGGAACAGUCUGUGGCAAAUCCCACAAUAAAGUAUUUGAUGUUCCUAUAUUUUCGUUAUUGAAGAACUAGA